ACUGCUGGAGCAGCUCUUCCAGAUCCACCUGUGCUCUUGGGAUUGCCUAAUGCUUGGUCCUAUACCAAAGCAUCCUCAGUUUGGUGUCAGCAGAAGAUGCUGGUGCUCCUCAGAUGGUGGGUCAGGCUGAGCACGAGGGAACACCUUCAUCCUCCACCUCGCAGAGAAGACUUGUGCUUCAGACCAGGACCAGAUGCCCCAAUGCCUCCUCAGGGAGAAAAGAGAGGCUGAGGUUACUGAUCUUGGAUGAGAAGAGCAACUUCCAUGGCUGUGCCAAGAAGCCAUCAGCGCUUGGAAAUGGGCCAAAGAUAUAUAGAUAUCCCCAAACUGUCAGGAUACAAUUUUUCAUGUUGGCUACUCCAGAGAAAUCAAUCAACUGUCAUUCCCUCAAGGAUCCACUGAUCAGGUGGAUAAAAAUUGCUUCCCAAUGGUUUCUCCCAGCAUGGCCAGUGCAUGUUCCUUUUAGUCAGAGCUCCCCUGGGGAGGAAAGUGCUUGCAUCCCAGAACACUGAUGGAUCACACCAUCACAUUUGUGCUGGAGCACUUGAAAGACCCUUUUGGCAAUGUGGAAAAGGUUCUUCUAUUCUUUUAAAAGUUCUACUGUUGCUUAUGAGAACUAUAAAACAAGCCUGGCACCAAGAUAAGGCGGCCUUGACAUUCCUGGAUUAUUGAUGGAUUGCAGGUAUCCAUUCUGUAACAGGACACUCACUAGGCCUGUCUUUGUGAGGAAAUUCAAACAAGAACAGUGUUACAGAAAUGGCAUUGAUUUUUUUAAAUAGAAGAGCAGCAUCCCUGCCAACCCUCUUCUCUCAAAGUGGUGAUUCUGGGAAAGAGCUCAUAGAAAAGGGCACCCAUUUUUGCUAGGUUAACUCUUAGAACUACUAAGGAAGGUUAAAGCUUACAAGAGUCCCCCAGCCCAAAAAGCUGCAGCUGUCCCAUAACAGCAUGGUUUGUUCUGGAUUUCUCCUGAUGAAGGCUCUCCUGGCUCCAGCACUGCUGCUCUGCUUUGACACUAUCAACACUGCAGCCUGUCCAGGGUGUUGAGCCUGUGCAAGAAGAAGGAGGCUGAAGAAGGAGUCAGGAUGUUAACACUGCUUCCAGGCAUGGCAGAGAUGCUGGAUCUGCAUUCAAGUCAGAGGUGGAGUGAGUAAAUGAGUCAAAUAUCUGAGAAAUCUCACAGAAUCACAGAAUAGUUUGGCUUGGAAGAGACCUUCAAAGCAUGUCUAGUUCCAAUUCCCAGCCACAGCAAGGGACCCUUUCACCUAGACCUGUUUGCUCCAAGCCCCACCCAGCCUGGCACUAAACACUUGAAAUCCUCCAAAAAACAUCUGAAGAAUUUUUUCAAGGUGUAGGGACCAGAAAGAAGUGUGCCAGAGGGCACAGUUUUGAGUUUCCAAACCAGUACUGAGCACAUCCUCUCCACUGUGACACUGCAGGAGCAGAGCUGCUUCUAGAACUGCAGGGGCUGAGCACCUGUGUUUGGCUGGACACAGCUCAGUAAUAGAAGUGAUUCUGGAGUUGUGGUGUGUAUGCACAACUGACACCUGUUCAUGGAUGUUUCCUGGAGCCUGGAUCCAUGUGUGCACCCGGUUGAAAAUAACCUGCCAGGCUGGUUUGGCACCUGUGAGCCUGGUUCAGCAUGUUGGCAUGGGAGCAGCCAUGGCUGGCAAAGCUGCCACCAUCACCCUUGAGCUUCAGAUGGGACCAAAGCAACCUCCUGUGCACCAUCUUCAUCUGCAAGUGUUUGGGACUGAAUUACUCAAGGCACUUGGAGCAGCAAAUAGGAAUUUUCAGUAUAAUACAUUGUGUUAAAAAUAUCCUGCUCCACUGCAAUAAAUAUAUGCAACAAUU